rnacentral:tRNA from 1 species
GCCGACGUAGCUCAGGGGUAGAGCAAUGGUUUCGUAAACCAUCGGUCGGGAGUUCGAAUCUCCCCGUCGGCUCCA